CUGCUGGAAGCUGUUGUUUUGAACCAGAGGAAGAUGGAAAAUAGGCUGCCAGAGAUAUUGCCAUAGCAACUGCUUUCCUUUCUGCUCUCUUAGGAGUUGACACUUGACUUCUUUGUAGUUGAAGUACUUUUCCAAAGGCAGAAGGAGUGGCGGCCAUUUUACACUGACUUACGCAUCUUCUUUGAAGGGGAAUACUCUCAUCAUCCCCAGUAGUCAAGGAAUUUCUGAGCCUCUACUUAUGGCUUUGGUUACCAGUCCACCCUGCUUUCUUUUUGUGAAAUGGAGUAUUCAUUCAGGACACCCUAUCUUCUAGGGCUGGAUUUGUUAGUUCAGUUACACAUUGUACAGGAGGCAGUGAUUCAAGACCAUCCCCAAGAAAAAGAAAUGCAAAAAGACAAAAUGGUUGUCUGAGGAGGCCUUACAAAUAGCUGUGAAAAGAAGAGAAGCGAGAGGCAAAGGAGAAAAGGAAAGAUAUAAGCAUCUGAAUGAAGAGUUCCAAAGAAUAGCAAGGAGAGAUAAGAAAGCCUUCCUCAGUGAUCAAUGCAAAGAAAUAGAGGAAAACAAUAGAGUGGGAAAGACUAGAGGUCUCUUCAAGAAAAUUAGAGAUACCAAGGGAAAUUUCAUGCAAAGAUGGGCACAAUAAAGGACAGAAAUGGC
ensembl:lncRNA